UACGUAGGGGGCGAGAGUUGUCCGGAUUUACUGGGUGUAAAGGGUGCUCAGGUGGAUUUGUAAGUCAGAGGUGAAAUCCCAAAGCUUAACUUUGGAGCUGCCUUUGAUACUGCAAGUCUUGAGUUUUGAGAGAGGGCAAUGGAAUAUCUGGUGUAGCAGUGAAAUGCGUAGAUAUCAGAUAGAACACCAAUGGCGAAGGCAGUUGCCUGGCUCAAAACUGACGCUAAAGCACGAAAAGUGUGGGGAGCAAACAGG
rnacentral:rRNA from 1 species